rnacentral:tmRNA from 1 species
GGGGCUGACCGGUUUUGACAGCGGGCAGAAGUGGUUUGUAAGCAUGCAGUGCGUCGUUGGCCGGCACUUUAAUCUCGGUUGAUAAACAUUAACUGGCGAAAACAACUACGCUCUCGCUGCUUGAUCGAAGAAUAGUAGAUUUUAAGCUUCAUCCCUUCACAAGGUGAGGGGACGAGAUGUCACCCGGAGCUCUGGCUUCGAAGCGAUCCGAAACGGUGGCACAGCAAUAUCGGAGAUAGGAUGAAUGACGUCCCGGCAUUCAUUCGAAAAUAAGGGAAUAAGGUUGCGGUAGGUGGCUUCGGUCUUGCUGCGGCUCGAAAACGAAGGCGGAGAUAAGCAUGUAGAAAGCAAAUUAAUUCCUCGUUUGGACGAGAGUUCGAAUCUCUCCAGCUCCACAA